rnacentral:rRNA from 1 species
UACGAAGGGAGCUAGCGUUGUUCGGAAUCACUGGGCGUAAAGCGCACGUAGGCGGAUGUGUCAGUCAGGGGUGAAAUCCCGGAGCUCAACUUCGGAACUGCCUCUGAUACAGCACGUCUUGAGUCCGAUAGAGGUGGGUGGAAUUCCUAGUGUAGAGGUGAAAUUCGUAGAUAUUAGGAAGAACACCGGUGGCGAAGGCGGCCCACUGGAUCGGUACUGACGCUGAGGCACGAAAGCGUGGGGAGCAAACAGG